rnacentral:rRNA from 1 species
GGGGGGGGCAAGCGUUGUUCGGAAUUACUGGGCGUAAAGGGUGCGUAGGCGGCUUUCUAAGUCGGAUGUGGAAACUAUGGGCUCAACCCAUAGCCUGCAUCCAAAACUGGAGAGCUUGGGUUCUGGAGGGGAAAGCGGAAUUCCUGGUGUAGCGGUGAAAUGCGUAGAUAUCAGGAGGAACACCGGUGGCGAAGGCGGCUUUCUGGACAGACACCGACGCUGAGGCACGAAAGCUAGGGGAGCAAACAGGAUUAGAUACCCUGGUAGUCCUAGCCCUAAACGAUGGAUACUUGCUGUGUCGGGUAUUCCAGUCCCGAUGUGCCGGAGCUAACGCGUUAAGUGUCCCGCCUGGGGAGUACGGUCGCAAGGCUG